GUCAUGCUGGAACAGGUUCAGGUCUCCUAGUUCAGGAAUACUGUACAGUUUGGUGAAGAUCCACGUAUAGCCGAGAACGUCAGGUGCCCCAAUACUUUUUUCCGUAUAGUGUAUAAUCAACCAUGGUCACAUGUAAAAUGGUCACGUGUUUGAGAAAGACUACUGCGUAUUGUGAAACGUGACUACACUGAGGUCUGACUGUGUCCUGAGCGAAUAUAAUCGCGCUGUAGUUAAAAAAACAUCUCGAGGAUUGUUCUCUCUGUGGGAAUCCCAUCAGCCUCCGACUGUGCGUGAGCAGGUGAAAAAGGAGCGCUCUGUUCCCUCCAGGUUUUUUUUGUUUUCUUUCUUUAUCGUUAUUUGCGAGUACGGACUGCUCUACGAAGGCCAAUUAUUAUGCCUCUGCCGUCCCCUUUCGCUUCUCCGAGCCAAUAAAAGGAAGCUUUAUGGGAGUGUGAUGUCAUCGCUCGGUCACACGGCGUGAGGCCGAUAGACCGCCUCGCUCGGCAACAAUGCCCAUUUCACACUCCGGUGCAGCGGGCGGCCUCAUGAGCAAGAAAAAUAGAGCUUAGGCCCUCUGUCUCUUCGCUUUUCGAUUCUCUACAUGAAGAUGCAAUAAACAGCCUUCUAGGGUUCUUCAUCAGGUUCUACCUGGCUGUUACUAUGGAAACAAUGACAUACUGCAUUCGAAUAAGUGUGUUACUGUAAAGAACAAUAAAAAUCCAAUCAACAGCUCCGGCUGAAGAGCCCGCUAGCAAAAUGGCUGACCUCUGAGCACGAUGAAGGGAACGCCAGAGAGGAAAAGACGGAUGAAUGACAGAAAAGAGCCAUGAUGAGGUCAGGCGGAGAGGAAACACAAAACGAGUGGAUGGAGGGGUUUAGAGUGAAAUAAGGAAAGAAGAAAAAAUAUACGGGGAUUUUUGUGCAUGUGUAGGUGUGUGUGUGUGUGUGUGUGUGUGUGUGUGCUUGAACACCUAACUUCACAUCUGUAUAAAUAGCAGCACAGAUGUUUGUAAAAACUUUGUGUUUGGAUAAGAAAUGAAAUGCAAUGAAAUAAAUAUAUAUUUAAAAGAAA